ACAAAAGUGCACAAUUAAAUUAUCGCAACCAUUUCCCCUUGAAAAAAAAUAUUUAUUUCGGACUUAGGAUAAAAUUAUUCAUCCUCCGAAAUAUUCUGGGAUUAAUUAAAUAAUUCUCAACAAUAAAAUUAUCGGUCCAAGUAUUAAUUAAUUUGACCCAAGAUAAUUGUUAUCUUAGCCCACCUUAUUUCUCCAAUUAAAACUUGAGCCCAACACAAAAUAAAAGAGAUCCCAAAACAUAAGUAAAUUUCGAAAUUGGACUUCCCUUCAUUUAUUUACUGCACCCCAAUUGUUAAAAGGAAUUGGGCUCAAAAUUAAAUUCUUCCCCUCCCUUAGCCCAAGUAACUAAUUUAUUAGUCCAACAAAAAACAAAACCCACAUACUCCACCCCCACUAUCGGUUUCUUCCUCUCUCAACACUAUUCACACUUCUUCCCCAAAUUGGACAAAUCUCUCUCUCUUCUUUCCGUCGACCAGCCAUCCCCCGGCGUCGCCGUCGCCGUCGCUCCUCUCUCCACUCUCUCCCUCUUAUCUCCUCUCUCAGCCUCACGCCGUCGCUCGCCACCCCCCUCCGCUGGUCCAGAUUCGUCGCACCGCCACCACCGCUGCGGGUCUGCCGACGCCGUGGGUUCGCGCCCCGCCGUCACCGAGGAUCUCCCCCCCCAGCCGCCGACGCCGAUUUGCUGCCGUUUCAGAUCAGCCGCCGCUACCGGAGUUGUCCGUCAGUUUUGGCAGCUCCGUUUCCACCCCCGAAACAACUCCGAUUAACUCCGCAGAUGAGGAAGAAACUCGAUUCAAGCUCGUGGCUGUCCGCGUUAAAGUACCCGAUUUUCUUAGAACGCAUGAUGCAUAGAUUAAAUUUUGUUUGACUUUUGUUGAAUGUAUCGGACAUUAAAAUUUUGAUUUUUGGAUCUUAUUUAUUUAUUUAUUUAAAUUUAUUAUACUCA